CCUUUCUUUGCUAAAGUGCUUGAGUUUUUUGAGGAUUGCAUUGUUGAAGCGAAGUGUUUAUCAAGUUUAUUUUACCACCGCUGAGCCAGCGAUGAACCCUAGGGAUAGAAAACACUUCAUGAAGCUUAGUCAAAGAUUAGUAAAGGCUGAGGAGUUGGUUACAUUUCUUCACGAAUGCAAAAUAAACGAUGUUUUCCCGAUGCCUAUUCAUCGUAUACGCUUACCUAUUAAGUCAAGAAGUAUCGAAAAGCAAGUAAAGUACCGAUGUCUGAAUUUCGCGCACACGGAUGCCAAGAGAACCUUGUACAUGCUUAGGAGGAAAGUCCGCCAUUAUGAACUAUCGAUGAUCACUAAGUAUGGAGGCC
rnacentral:lncRNA from 1 species